ACCCGCGCCAGCCCGUCUCUCUGGAAAGUUCACCGGAGCCCCGAAAGCCCUUCAAGGCGGGGUCUGGUCCCACACUGGCGGGUUCUCCCAUUACUGGAGGCUCCUGACCCUUGCCCUUCCCAGGAGGAAGGGAGCAGAGAACGCGCCCGAUUCCCGACCGGGUGAAAAACUUUGCUUCCUAGGAGCUCGGGGGAGGCCAAAGUGAGUUCCGCCGGAGACGCCCGGGAGGGGCGGCGGACCUGAGAAGGCAAAACAGCCCUCCGUCCUAAGCGCCUGGACGCGGGGAGCCGGCCUGCGCAGGGAGGGCAUCGCCCGCCCCCCAGCACGCCGGCCCAGCCGCCCGGCGAUCGCCGACCUCCCCGCGUCUCCCUGGAGUCGCCCUGCAGCCCCGGCCCCUGGCAGAAGCAGACCUGCGCCUUUAAGAGCCGCUGGGUUUACCUUUGCUCCGUUUACCCGGCGCAGCGCUGCCCCCUCCUCCCGGGCCCCCCGCCCGCCAGCCGCCGCGAGUCGCCCGCGGACUCACCGCGCGUGUCCUGGGGGCCGCGGUGCGCCGGCUCCCGCCCGCGACAGCCGAGGGGCCGGGCCCUGCGCCCUGCUGGGGUCCCUGCCCGCCCUCGGAGCUGCGGCCGCUGGUCGGGAAAGGUCCUGUUACAAGCCAAAGCCUGUCUCCUUGCAGAGAGUCAGACAAGACUCAGCUAGGGGUUUCCCCUGGCACCCCAGCCCCCGGGGCCCCUCUUCUGCAGGCCCCUCUGCUCUGCUAACCUAAAGGGUCUGCGGCUUUCCUGGGGGGCUCUGGUGGCCAAGCAGCGUGACAGAGGGGGCCCAGGGGCAGCCCAGCCCACUCCUUGCCCCAUUCAGUCCCUCCUCCUCCCUGCCAGUGACAAGCCGCUGCCCUGCAGGUAGGACAAGCAUCCCUGCGCCCGGAGGACUGAAUGCAGAAGCUGGAAACAGCUCUCCCUCACAGACUGUGUGGGCAGCUUCUGAAAAACCAAAGUUCAAACCCGCCCCACUUUCUCUUGGGAGGCGCAGCAUCCAGACAGGGAGAGCUCAGCCAGCAGAGAAACCCCCUUCCUGCCCCAGUGCCGCAGGCUCUCCUUUCUGACCCCACCCGUACCCGGGCAGACACAGUCUCCCGAAGCACUGCAGGAACGCUUGGCGGGCCCUGACCUCACUCUGCCCCUAAGGUGCAGAAGUCAUUUCCUUCUCUGGGCCUCAGUUUCCUCCUCUGCAAAAUGGGAAUAAAGUGAAUGCUUGCCUCUC
ensembl:lncRNA